rnacentral:lncRNA from 1 species
UAUUAUCUAACAAUUUAACCAAAGGCACUAAUAUGAUAAAAAAAAUACAAAUGUGAGUGGGAGAGGAAUUGAACUUAAGAUUUAAAGACAAAACCACUAACAUUUAACUACCUAAAGAAACUAUUUAUAUUAAAAAAUUUAAAAAAUAUAAUUUAAAGGCGAAAUGCUCCCAGCUAGACGUACUUUCCCUCCCCUCUCUCAAAAAACCUAUUUUCCUAAAGUUAAAAAAAAAAAUCAGUCUAUUUGACCUUAAUUGCUAAUUUUGCUGACUAAUUGCAAAAAUGUGUUAAUAAGAAAAAAUAGAGUAGCAAAUUGUAGGCCCUAAUUUGGUACCAAAUCCUAGCAGCCUGGCACACGUGUGAAGAUGAAAAUAAUGGAAAUUUCAAGCUUUAUUAUUAUUAUUAUGAUUAUUAUUAUUAU